GAUGAACGCUGGCGGCGUGCCUAAUACAUGCAAGUCGAGCGAACAGACGAGGAGCUUGCUCCUCUGACGUUAGCGGCGGACGGGUGAGUAACACGUGGAUAACCUACCUAUAAGACUGGGAUAACUUCGGGAAACCGGAGCUAAUACCGGAUAAUAUAUUGAACCGCAUGGUUCAAUAGUGAAAGACGGUUUUGCUGUCACUUAUAGAUGGAUCCGCGCCGCAGUAGCUAGUUGGUAAGGUAACGGCGUACCAAGGCAACGAAGCGUAGCCGACCUGAGAGGGUGAUCGGCCACACUGGAACUGAGACACGGUCCAGACUCCUACGGGAGGCAGCAGUAGGGAAUCUUCCGCAAUGGGCGAAAGCCUGACGGAGCAACGCCGCGUGAGUGAUGAAGGUCUUCGGAUCGUAAAACUCUGUUAUUAGGGAAGAACAAAUGUGUAAGUAACUAUGCACGUCUUGACGGUACCUAAUCAGAAAGCCACGGCUAACUACGUG
rnacentral:rRNA from 1 species